rnacentral:lncRNA from 1 species
UGAAAUUUAUGAAUUUUGAAUUUUUCAAAGUAAAGGGCUCCAUGGAGCUCGGUCUCCAAAAUGCCCUACUCCCACACAAGCGAAAAUGCUACUUAGCCAGGCAGUAAUUUCAAUGUUAGGCUUGAGAAAUCUAACGUUCUUUUGAGGAAGCAAACCAAACAGGCCCUACGAUCUGCCAGCCGACCACCUCUAGACCAUCCAGCAUGCUGCUUAGCCGGCCUCUGUCCCACCGCCUACACAACGGAUGUCACUGCUGUAAAAAUGCCAAAAAUUUGAACACAAAGUCAGAAGCACGAUGCAAGAACUGCUCAAUGAUGAUCUUAUUAUCAUAGUCCAAAUGGUUCACAUCAUAGCCGUAAGCACCAAUAAGAAAAAUGAGCUUGCUUCUUUCAGUGGUUAAAGUUUUGUGUUUUUUCUUUUCUUUUGAUGACUCAAGAUUUGCUCAUUUUACUUAUUGAUAUGCAUAAAUGAUGUAUGCAGAGAUGAGUGAAUAAUCUUAGGCCACUUAGCUGACGUAGACCCCGGCUGCUUAAGAGUCUAAACUAGUGUCACCAUCAGUAGUGGAUAUGGAUGCCACCACAGUUCCCGCCCGCGGGAAAUGCAACUAGCCAAUGUCAAUGACUGCACAGCGUGUGAACGCCCUUGACGAUACCGUUCGUCAAGUCAAGUCGAUAUAGUUAAAUCAGUGCGUUGCGUGAGAGAGAAGGUGCACAAGCGUAAGCGUGUGUGACGACACCGAUAAUUUAAAUUUGUGCGUGGCGCGCGAGAACAACAUAUCCAAUGAGGCGAGUCGUCGCCAUCACCCGGCUCAGCUAGCCUCGUUCUCCCCCGGCGAGAGGGAGACCAGUUCGACCAGAAAACACCAGCCGGCGGGCGGAAGGAGAGGGAGGAGCCAUGGCCGAGCUCGCGGCGGGCGCCGUGAGCUCGCUGCUGGUCGUCAUCCGCAGCGAGGCCCUGCUGCUGCGCGGCGUCCGGGACGACGUGCAGUUCAUCAAGGAGGAGAUGGAGAGCAUGAAGAGCUUCCUGGCGCACCUGGCCAGGUGGGCGCCCCCCGGCGGCGAGCACGACGAGCAGGUGCGCACCUGGAUGAACCAGGUGCGGCUGCUCGCCCAGGACUGCAACAACUGCAUCGACCUCUACCUCUACAGGGGGAAUCCUGACAUCCACCGCGCCAGAGGUGGGCUCCGAGGCUACCUCUGGUGGGCGACCUGGUUCUUGCACAAGCUGGCUGCACAGCACCGCGCGGCUGAGCAGCUGCGUCUUCUCAAGGAGCGGGCACGCGAUGUCGGCGAGCGGCGGUUGAGGUACGGCGUGGAGGUCCCGGACAAGUCCGGGAAGGGGCAAUUGGCUCUGACGGCAUCCUCGUCAUUGUGGGCUGCUGCGGCAGGUGGCUAUGCGGCCGGGGAUGACGAAGAAGAAGACGGUGAUGGUCAACUCAUGGGGGCAAUGGCGACCGACGGCCAUUCUGGUCCAAGAGCCUUCACUAAGCCUCGCACUCUGGACGACUACGUCAAGGCAAAGCUAUGGGAGUGGUUGCAAGGAGUUCCUGGUAACGCCGGCGAAACUUUGUCCAUGGUCGUGGUGGCACCCUACACAUAUGAGGACCUCCUCGCUCUUGUACAAGAAACUUGGCUUUUGAGUCAAAACCGGAGGGGCUACCAUCGCAUUGUCGUGGUUGACAUCCCAGCUGUGCACCCUGAUUUUAUGCUGCUACGGCCCAAGGAGGUUCUCUUCUACAUUCUGCGGGAGCUUAAGCUUGCCAAGUCCAAUCCCCAGGAGCAAGGCACAGAAGGCCAAGAGGAUCUGGACUCUUGGGAAGUUUACCUAAGAAGAUGGCAAAUUUACCGUGAAAAGAAGAGGGCUAUUGCUCUUCUUGACAUCGAGGAGAAUAUCGAAGAGAUGAAGAUUUAUGAAAAGCUUGACAAAAUCAAAAGUGAUAUUCAAGGUCGACUAGAGAAGGGCGACGGGCUUCCCAAGGGCGACAAGCUUCAGGGUGAUUUUGACAAGUUGGACCUAGACGUACUACUUCAGCUGCUGCUCCAGACAGCGUCUCAACAAGAUCAAAAGGGGAAGAACAAAGACAUGCAUAGAUUACCACCGUGGGACAAGGACAACAUCAUCGUCAAGAAGCUCAAGGAGCAUAUGGAAGUAGAGGAAAAGGACAAGAAGAUUGAAGAGAGAGAAGCUGCCAAGAAUAUGGGGGUGGAAGGAGAAGCCGCAGUUAAGCAUAUGGAAGAAGAGGGAGGAGGAGAAGUAACAUCCAAACAUAUGGAGGAGGGGGGAGGAGAAGUAGCCAUACAUAGGGAGGAGGAUAUGGAGGAGAGGGAAGGAGAAAUAACCAUACAUAGGGACGAAGAGGAAGAAGGGGGCGGGAGAGGAGAAACAACCGGGCAUAUGGAGGUGGGAGAAGGAGAAGUGGCCAUACACAGGGAGGAGGAUAUCGAGGGGGGAGGAGAAGUAGCCGCACAUAGGGAGGAGGAUAUGGAAGGAGAAGUAACCAUACACAGGGAGGAGGAGGAGGAGGAGAAAGAAGAAGAAGAAAAAGAAGAAGAAGAAGAAGAUGAUGAUGAUGAUGAUGAGGAUGAUGAUGAUAAUGAUGAUGAAGAAGAAGAGGAGGAGGAGGAGAUGAGGAGGAUGAGGAGGAGGAGGAGGAGGAGGAGGAGUACGCCACGGAUUCAGCUCGAUGAGGCACAAUAUGCACACAUCCUGAGGAAGCUGUUUCCCAAGAGCAGCAGCAGCAGCAGCAAGCCCGUGCAGGCCCAAGACAGAUCCUUGGACAAGCAAGCUACAAAGACCACAACGCCUACACUGGGUGAGGAUCAAAUCAAAAAACUCAUCCAUGACGCAAAGGAAGACAUCUUACGGGAGUUGCAGCAAGGCAAAUAUGACAAGAGUGAAGGGACAGGUGAACCUGGUGCUCCGGAUCAAAACCCAGAAACUGUUUCUGAAAAAAUACGUGCCGGUUUCGUGGACCAGAUGAUGGAAAAAAUGAAGCACGAGUUCAAAGAGCAGCUCAAGAUCAAAGGGCUCGUGAACGAGAUUAAAAAUAACUUGAAUCCUCAUCCGUUCCGGGAUAACAGGUGUGAGUGCCCCCUGUUUAUCCUAAAAGUUGAUGAGCUGAUGGAUGUUUCCACAUGUGAGGAUAUCAGAAAUGCUUUGAGCCUGUUAAACUGCAGUGCCGAUUUGAUGAUUGUCACCGCCGCAAAGGACAUCCAGCUGGCUAAAGAAUAUUGUUACCCACCUCGGGAACCAAUAGACUAUUCUCUUGCUGGCCUCUACCAUGAUACAGUGCUCAAGCUAACUAGUCAGCAGAAGAAUGAAGACAGCUACAACCCCCAAAUUUUUCAUGAUAUCUUGUAUGAGUGUGAGCCACAUGAAUUCUGCAUGAAGGUCUUCACUCAUGCUUUGUAUGCUAACCCCAAGAGGAGCGGCGAGGAGUUACAAAAGCUGCAUAGCACCUUGCAGGCUUUACCAACAACAUCAUUCAACAACAUUGCUAAGGUGAUGGUCAAGUUCUCUUACAAUGACCUGCCUAAAGAAUACAAGUCCUGCUUUCUGUACCUAGCUAUCUUCUCUCCGGGACAAAAGAUCAGUCGGUCAACCUUGGUUGCACGGUGGGUUGCAGAAGGGCUGACAUCCAAGGAAGAUUGGCCCAGUUCUAUGCGUCAGGCCAACCGAUGUUUUGACGCACUUGUUGGCCGGUGCCUUGUUCAUCCUGCAGAUAUUGGUACCACAGGAAAUGUAAAGAGUUGCAUCGUUGGUGAUCCGGUUCAUGGAUUCAUUACUGCCAUCGCCAGAAAACAACACAUUGUGGAGACACGCCUGUCACAUCACUUGGCUCGCCACUUCUCCAUUUUCAACGAUCUCCAACUCCGCAGCUCCGAUAGAAUUGAUAAAUUCUUCCAGGGCCUCUCUAAAUCAUCUCAAGUGUCACUGCUCAAGGUGCUAGAUCUAGAAGGUUGUCAGUGCUUUGGCGGGAAGAACCAGCGGUACCUCAAGGAUAUCUGCAACAAGAUGUUAUUGCUCAAGUAUCUGAGCCUGAGGAGAACAGAUAUUACCCAGCUACCCAGUGAAAUCAACAACCUCCGUGAGCUAGAGGUACUGGAUAUCCGACAAACUGCAAUACCUCAACAUGCAACAGCGAAUAUCCUGCUCUUGAAGCUGAAGCGUCUGCUUUCUGGUCACAUUGAUCCAAACAAUUUUGGAUCUAGUAGUCGGAUUCCUCAUAGGAUCGACAAAAUGGUAAGCAUGGAGGUACUAUCCAAUGUCAAGGCCCAGCAGAGUUAUGAUUUAAAAGAUAUUGGAAAGCUAUGGCAGCUGAGGAAGCUAGGUGUGGUUAUCGAUGAUAAGGAUAGUCACCUCAAGAAUUUGCUUCAGACGAUCAGUGACCUACAUGAGUGCCUCCGUUCUCUGUCAAUCACUACUAUUCCCGUAGCCACACCAUGCGAGGCAGAGUUUCCAGAUGUCAAGAACCAUCCCAAGAUUCUCGAGUCUCUAAGCAUCAAGGGAACCACACAAAAUGGGCGUCUUCUUCCAUUUUUCAUAGAAGGUAAUAACAACAAACUUGCCAAGAUAACUCUAGGUCACACUCUGCUGAGCCAAGAUGAUCUGAAAGUCCUUGCCAAGCUGCCCAAGUUACGGUGUGUUAGGCUCCAACACAUUGUAUGCACCGAGCACAUGCUGAACUUCAAGGAAGGUGAAUUCAGAUGCCUCAAGUACCUUGUUGUUGAGGGCUCGGACUUGACUAAUAUCACUUUUGAGGAUGGUGCAGCCAGUGAGCUCGAGAAGAUGGUUUUGUCUAUCACCAGCAUAUGUUCUAUUUCUGGAGUUGAGUAUCUUUCUGAAUUGAAAGAGCUUGAGUUGAACAGCAGCUUUUGCGGCAGUUUGCUGUCAUCAUUUGACAAUGCCAAACAGAUAGCCAAGCUGACUCUUCGUAAUACAUUGCUAGAGCAAGCUGCUCUACAACUGCUCACCAAGAAACCAAAUAUACGCUGUCUGGUGCUCUUGGACAAGUCUUUUGGUGGAACACAAAACAAGAUCACAUUAGAAAAAGAUGAGUUCUUAUGGCUCAACCUCCUUGUUGUUGACUGCUCGGCCAUCACCAAGAUUGUCUUCAACAACGGGUCUGCUUCUAGGCUCGAGAAGAUUGUCUGGUCAUCUUCCACAUCUCUGUCCGGCAUCGACAAACUUCCCAGAUUGAAGGAGCUCGAGUUCAAGGGUGACCAAGUCCCUCCUGAGGUGAGAGAUGCCAUUGAAAACCAUAAAAACAAGCCUAGUCUUAAACUCAAUGGACCAAAAACUCAAGACUAAGCAAAAAGGAGAUGAAGAAGAGGAUGACAAGGAUGCUGCAACAUUCUCUUUCUGCUGGAAGAAACAGGUUUGACACCGGAAGGGCCUCUCCGUUGAUCGCACGGUGUGGUUUGCGUGUGCUAGUGUGGAUUGCAAUCUGUUCUUCUUGUCUGUUGAAUUUUUUUCUGAUGCGUGUUUAAGUUCUGCGUGCAUUACAACUUAAGUGUGUCCGUUUACUUGCUCUACAUGAGUGCCCUAGUGGCUCCGAUUGAGCGUAAACGGUUGUAUCUAUGCUUGGAUUUGAAUUUGUGUGACUUUCCUUUGUAUAAAACAUCGUAUGCAUUUGUGUACAGUAUCAUGUAAUAAAGUGUGAUGAUUGUGGACACAUUUGACUUCUUAUUAAUAUAUACAGUGUGAUAUCAGUAUGCAUGCUUUGAUUGGGUUCUGCAACUCAAAGAUGAACUGGAUACAGUUACCUCUAAUGUAGGCAUCCGUUUGCUUCAAACCAGCUGAGUAGCUCUUGCACUGAUGCCUGACUAUGUACUUGAAGCAGAACUUUAUGCAGAUUAAGAAUGUGUGACACAAUCUGUCUGCAACUCUGCAUCUUCUGAUUGUCAGGCAAGCACUAGCGCCCCGGGAAGAAUCGAAAUUGUUUUCAGCUGUAUGUUGGCGUGCAUUUGGUAGCUCGCGUAGUCUCUCCCAUUGUUUGCUGGUGGAGAUGCCAAUACAGCUCCAUAUUUACCAAUCCACUUGAAAUGUUCAGACACAUGCGGCAAUCACGGUUCUUCGCUUCCUCAUGUAACAAACCAAAUCGAAGCAUAAGAC